AAGGCAGAGCUGAAAAUUCACUGUUUGUCUUGUAUUGUGUGUGGCAAAACCUGGAAUAACACAUGGGAGCCCUCCAGGAAUUCCUGACACUUUACGCCCAAGUCUCCUCAUGCUGACCGGAUUGGAAUAUGACAGUCUAGUCACCAUAAACACCUGGACUCACCAAGCACACUUUGGUUCUCAGUGUUUUGUAAAAAUUGUUUUUGCUAUUCUUCAGUAAAUACUUGAAUAUGUUUUGAACUUAUUCUACUUUUGAUGUUUAAGUUCAGAAAGUUGUUAUUAUAAACAUAAUUUGCAUUUGUCAUGAACUUGACUUCUUGUUGUUGUAAAAGCUGUUUAUUAUAAUGGCAUUUCCAAAGGCAUCAUUUGAAAAGAUUUAUUGCAGUGCA